rnacentral:lncRNA from 1 species
GCUGGUGACUGGAAGAGACUUAGUAAAAGACAGGACUGCUCCUGACAUUUUGCUGGGAAGCAAAGAAACCAGAAGACAUGCCUCCGUGCCAGGAAGGAGAAAGUAAACCACAGCUGGAAACCUAAGCGGAGGAAGAAUGGUCUUCCAAUUAAGAGGAACUGUGUUUGAAGAGCUAUUAUUAAAGAACCACCCCUGAGAAGCUUUAUUUUCCCCUGGACCCAAUUUAGAGAAUGACAUACUGGACUUCUGGCUGAUGCUGUAAUGGGAAAAUUAGCUGGGCGUGGUGGUGAGGACCUGCAGUUCCAGCUACUCAGGAGGCUGAGACAAGAGAAUAGCAUGAACCCGGGAGGCAGAGCUUGCAGGAAGCCGAGAUCGCCCAGGAAGCCGAGAUAGCGCAACUGUACUCCAGCCUGGGUGACAGAGCGAGACUCCAUCUCAAAAAAAAAAAAAAAAAAAAAUUGGGGUAUAGCCAUAUUGGAGCAAAGGAAAGGCAAACAGGUAGAGAUACAAGAGCUAAAAACCUACAUCCCUUAACAGAGUCAGUGAACACCAUCUAAAACUGAUGCAUAAAUAGCAGAACAUGCAUAUUAUGUAGAAAAUACGGAGACAAAUAUCAGAAGA